ACGCUCGACACCUACGGGAGGCAGCAGUGGGGAAUAUUGCACAAUGGGGGAAACCCUGAUGCAGCGACGCCGCGUGAGCGAAGAAGUAUUUCGGUAUGUAAAGCUCUAUCAGCAGGGAAGAAAUUGACGGUACCUGACUAAGAAGCACCGGCUAAAUACGUGUCAGCAGCCGCGGUAAUCUGAGCGGGCUGGCAAGGC
rnacentral:rRNA from 1 species